GGAGCACAUACCUUUCCUUAUAUAUAUCUUCUUCCUAUCGUCUGGCAAGGGGACUCUAUUUACCUCACGCAUAACCCAAAGUCCAGAUCUUUCUUAUGAUUGACCUGCUAUUCUUUGGACUACUGGAUUAGCAUCUGCCGCUGAAGCACAGAUCUUACGUUGGAAGGUUUAGGUACAAUCUGGCAAAACAACUAUAUUUUAGUUUCGGGCGUAUACCUGCUCUCUCUUUAGAGUGCAAAUCCUUUCUUCUUCAUCAAGGGCUGGCUUCGCUCGGGCUAUCGCCUCCGUGAGAUGGCGCAGAAAUCGCGCACGGUUCCCUCACAUCGACUAUCCCUUGUCGAGCUAGCCAAGCAACAGAAACUAUAUGAACCUAGCUCCGAUGACCAAGACUGCCCCAUAGUUAAAGCUAUAAGUAUACCAAAGGGUGAACUCGACAACGGUCCUCGCGGUUGGCGAGCGAGACAGUCCAAACUAGCUUAUUCAUAUUACCCAUUGGCGGCUUCACCGCGAACUGAUACAGCUUUAUGUCUGGGUACUAGGAUGGUAUCCAAAGGUCUGACUUGGGAACGUCAUGAUAUUGAGUAUAUGCCACGUCCUUCAGGCUAUAAUGAAUGGGGGGCAAACAUUUUACGAAAUCAUUCUUUUUCCCUAAAAGGGCUUGGUGAAGGUUCAGAUUACCUUUGUGGAGCUAUUUACUGCUCUUUGGGUGAUUAUUCUAUUUCACCUGCCUUGCUAAGAUCUCUGUUAGAAAAAUGGAAUCCAAAAACCAACACGUUCCUAUUCUCAUGUGGUGAACGUACUAUUACACUCCUUGAUAUGUAUCAAAUGGCUGGUCUUCCUCUAGAUGGAGACUUAUAUGAAGAAUUUAUCCCACCAGAACAUGCACUAGACCCCUCCCUUUGCCAAUUCCCUGACUUCUUACCGGACCUAUUAUCCGCACAUGAUCAGCUUGCCAAGAACAAUGGCGGCCACGUGACUUUCCAGGUCUGGUGUGACUAUUUUCACAACCGGCGAGACCAUUUCGU